GACGAACGCUGGCGGCGUGCUUAACACAUGCAAGUCGAACGGAAAGGCCCUGCUUUUGUGGGGUGCUCGAGUGGCGAACGGGUGAGUAACACGUGAGUAACCUGCCCUUGACUUUGGGAUAACUUCAGGAAACUGGGGCUAAUACCGGAUAGGAGCUCCUGCUGCAUGGUGGGGGUUGGAAAGUUUCGGCGGUUGGGGAUGGACUCGCGGCUUAUCAGCUUGUUGGUGGGGUAGUGGCUUACCAAGGCUUUGACGGGUAGCCGGCCUGAGAGGGUGACCGGCCCAAUGGGGGCUGGAUGACGCCCCACAUUCUUGCGGGAGGGAGAAGGGGGGAUUAUUGCACGAGGGGGGGAAUGCUGAUGGAGCAACGCCGCGUGGGGGUGGACGGCCUUCGGGUGUUAAACAGCUUUGGCCUGGGAGGAGGCGGGAGGGACGGUAAGGGGGAAAAAGCCCCCGGCAAACUAGGG
rnacentral:rRNA from 1 species